rnacentral:rRNA from 1 species
UGGGGAAUAUUGGGCAAUGGGCGCAAGCCUGACCCAGCAACGCCGCGUGAGGGAAGAAGGCUUUCGGGUUGUAAACCUCUGUCCUUGGUGAUGAAAAAAAUGACGGUAGCCAAGGAGGAAGCCCCGGCUAACUACGUGCCAGCAGCCGCGGUAAUACGUAGGGGGCGAGCGUUGUCCGGAAUUACUGGGCGUAAAGGGUGCGUAGGUGGCCUUUUAAGUUGGAUGUGAAAUCCCCGGGCUUAACUUGGGUGGUGCAUCUAAUACUGGAGGGCUAGAGUGCAGGAGAGGGAAGCGGAAUUCCUAGUGUAGCGGUGAAAUGCGUAGAUAUUAGGAGGAACACCAGUGGCGAAGGCGGCUUUCUGGACUGUAACUGACACUGAGGCACGAAAGCGUGGGGAGCGAACAG